GCAAAUAUAUGGGUGAUAGCUGCAGGGAAAGUGAUAUUAACACGUGAUAUUUAUUAUGAACUUGACAUUUAAAUUCUUAAAAAAUACAUAUUCUUAUAUUGAUGAGAACUACGCCCCCCCCCCCCCCCCAGGGAGAGGUCCAACUAUAUAAAAAAAAUGGUGAUUCAGGAGAGGGAGGGGAAAUUUGAGGGAAAGAGAAAUGAGUAGCUGAGACUGAAGCUGGUGAACCCCUGAAGAAUUUAGCUAGUUUCUUUUUCUUUUUCUUUUCAUUUUUUUUUUUUUUUUCAUUUAAGGAAAGUGGAAUGCAGAAAACAAUGAUAAAGCAAAAGCGCCAAAGGAGUGGAGGAGGCUCCGAGAGAAAAAGGGCGAUAAACACGUCCGCUGGAAAACAAGAUCUCUUAGAGGAAAGAACAUGAACCAUCCCAUCCUAGCCUUCGCAAGUCGGUAAACUUUGGCUGUGGUGCCUUAUAGUAACCAUGUCCACCAUCUCAAGACUCUUCCUGACAUCAAGGAGCCCUUUUAAAGUAUGUAUUGUCCACUGUGAUUUAUUGUCCACUGUGAUUCCUGCCUGAAGAAUACAGCAUUUCAAGGAUGAAAAGCUACAGCGGAUGUACUCAAUGUAAUACUCAAUGACAUAAUGAAGAAGUGAUUAGAAUUUUAACACUGUUUAAUAAUUAUAUAGCUUGAAAUUAUAUUUCAACACUCUUUGUAAAUCUCUUUCUGUUAACAUUCUGAAUUCAGUUAUUAUCCUUUUGGUACAUUUGAAUUUCUGCAUAGCAUUGGUGGCUGUAGAGUCCUCUGCAAGUCAGCACAACAUAGACUCUAGUCUUCUACAUUCCCAUUGAGUUACAUAGCUAGUAGAAUUGCUGCUAAAGGACAGAAAACGUUUAAUGUCAAUGAAGUUCUUAGGUUUGUGUGUGUGUAUUAAAUACAGGCACAUAACCAUAUUUUUAUAAUCCUGUGACAUAGUAAACUAUGAAAAUAACAAACAAUACUUUUUUCUCCCUCCACCCUAUUGGGUUGGCACCAAAUCGUAUUUGGUAACUAAACUUGACUAUGCUAACAUUACCAUUGAUAUUCUUAUUUAUCCCACUUAGUGUGAAUAUUGAGAAACAAUGUGUUAAAUUAUAAAGUAUGGAUGGAAAGUUUAUGUAAUAUAUGCUAUAUGCAAAAUCCAUUAACCGAGGUUUCAGAUAAGAGAUUGUAGAACUAUUAUUUUGUUUUUUUCUGAUUUAAUGUGAUCAUUAUUUUCCUAUUUUUCACCAACUCUAAAAGGUAUAUAUAUAUUAAAUAUACAUAUUUAAUAUCUACACAUUUUUGUGAAAUAAAACCUGAUGUUGUUGACCUUAUUUGUUACUU
rnacentral:lncRNA from 12 species